UACGUAGGGGGCUAGCGUUGUCCGGAAUCAUUGGGCGUAAAGAGCGUGUAGGCGGCCCGGUAAGUCCGCUGUGAAAGUCGGGGGCUCAACCCUCGAAUGCCGGUGGAUACUGUCGGGCUAGAGUGCGGAAGAGGCGAGUGGAAUUCCUGGUGUAGCGGUGAAAUGCGCAGAUAUCAGGAGGAACACCAAUGGCGAAGGCAGCACUCUGGGACGUGACUGACGCUGAGACGCGAAAGCGUGGGGAGCAAACAGG
rnacentral:rRNA from 1 species